UGUGGUAUUAAUAACAACAAAUCUCUUAACCUGAAUAACAGGCUUUAAUCCAAUAAAAUACAGACAAGCUACAAACACAUAAGGUGGAAUAAAUACACGAGACAAAGAGAGCCACAAAUACAUGUGCGAGAAAGGAGAGCAUGCUAGAACAACGACUGAUGUUGCCAGACAUAGAGAUCCAGACGAAUGGAGCUGCCACACAUACUACAAUCAUCCUCAGUUGGAGUUGAAUCCAGUGCUUGUUCUUCCAUCUGAAAGAGGAAUUUCUUCAAUGCUGAUAUUAUUUUUUAAGCAAAUGUUGUGGAGCACAACACAAGCAGUUUCUGGAUGAUAGUGUAGUAGGCAAUGCCAGCAAUUUUUCAAAAGACCAUUACAUUGC
rnacentral:lncRNA from 1 species